rnacentral:lncRNA from 1 species
CGGCACGAGUUUUAAGAAAUUGGUAUUUUGUGUGUUAAGUGUGGUAGGUGUAAAAGUGAAAAGUUAAAUAAAGAUUAAUUUUUUAGCCAUAUAAGGAAACUGGUCAAGCUUCGUGAGACAAACCAAAAAGGAAACUUGAUGAUGCUUCGAGGGACGAAUGAACAUGAUUUAUUCUAAUGUGUGCUUCUCAUCAUAAUUAUUAUUUAAAAAAAAAAGAAAAAAAAAUACACACACGCAUACAACAUACUUAUGUAAUUAUCCAUGGUGUAUAUAAGCCAAUAUCAAACUGGUUACGUAAUUCUCAAAAAAAAAAAAAAAAAAAAAAAGUUAUGUAGGACCAAUGAAACCAUAAACUAACAUACUAACAUUAAAAUAAC